rnacentral:rRNA from 1 species
AUACGGAGGAUCCGAGCGUUAUCCGGAUUUAUUGGGUUUAAAGGGUGCGCAGGCGGGAGAUUAAGUCGGCGGGGAAAUUUUGCAGGUCAACUGUAAAAGUGCCUUCGAAACUGGUUUCCUUGAGUGGAGAUGAAGUAGGCGGAAUUUGUGGUGUAGCGGUGGAAUGCAUAGAUAUCACGAGGAACUCCGAUUGCGCAGGCAGCUUACUAAACUACUACUGACGCUCAGGCACGAAGGCGUGGGGAUCAAACAGGAUUAGAUACCCUGGUAGUCCACGCAGUAAACGAUGAUUACUAGCUGUUUGCGAUACAAUGUAAGCGGCUGAGCGAAAGCGUUAAGUAAUCCACCUGGGGAGUACGUUCGCAAGAAUGAAACUCAAAUGAAUUGACGGGG